UCAGUGUAGUGCUCAGCAGUAAUUCGC
rnacentral:sRNA from 1 species